AAAACACUCAAAACAGACAGCGGGAUCCAGGAUGUGUUGGGAACGGGAUGACAGACCGUAAAGAGGAUGUCUUUCGACCUGAGCAUAUGAUGGGCGUUCUUCUAAAAUGGCUGACCCAAGUUUGCAUGCAUUCCCACCGGCUAAUGAGCUUGAUGCAGUGUGCAACGUCCACUCUGAUGAAGCAAGGUGGGAGCUUUGAGGCAUUCCUUGUCAACACUCCAAAGCACUCAUUGACAGAUGUUUUCAAGUCAGAGUAAGGAGUAAAGGCCUUAACUAAUGCUCCAAGCAAAGCUAGGGAGAAAUCACAGACUGCCGCUUUGGGCACAGCUGCACCUGCUCAUUGCCAUUCUGUGAGCCAGUACACAAUAGAAUUGAUGGUGUGGUUCUCAUAGAGCAUUUGCACUAUUGGGACAUGGUUUCUCUGUGAACACAAAACUACUUGGUACAGAAAGAAAUGUCCAGAACUGCCACAGGGUCUUCUCAGUUUCUUCACGACUGUACCAGUGGCAUCAAAACUCACAAUGGAGCCUGAAUACUUGGACUUCUUUUGAUAAACUUGCAUCUGGGAUGGUUUCUAGUAAUGGCAAAAAAACUUAUCAAGGCCAAUGUCAUGAAUACUUCCAUUGUGGGGAACACUGUAUUUUAGCAGAUGUAGUGACAUGAUUGGGUCCCUGUCUCCAAGCUCUUUGUCACCCAUCUCUUGUUUGGCUUUUGUUAAUGUUGCCAGAUUUGGUAGGUGGCUUGGCUCUGGGUCACCAACAUCCAUCAGCUUGCAAGCCUCCGCUGCUCGCCAUACAUGUGCUAGUUUCAUCCCUCCCAGAGUUCUUUAGACGCUUGUGUUCUCAGAUCUCCCGAUAAUUUGCGCUUUGCUUGCCCAGUGUGGAGACUGUCAUCAACAUUCUGGAACAUGCACUUAAACACAACUGGUUUGUCAGCCACUGGCAUAUUCUCAACUGUUAUAGCUGUGCAUCAACUGUUAUAGCUGUGCAUCACACUCAGUGCAGUGCCCAAUUAUAUCUAUAUAGUGAGAUGCAACAUUUGGAUAAACUUUUGCUCUCCUGAAUCUCAGAGUGCAUGAGGAUUUGAUGCUUUUCCAUAUCUCUUCAUACAAGAUAUGAGUCCAUGCUCCACAUUUCAAGAUGGUGUAUUUCCUUUUGCAUGUGUCGAGAGAUUUUUCAUUGUAAACAACUUUCUUAGGCCAGAUUUGUAGCCAUCUCUUAUAAGAGAGAUUGAUCUCAAACUGGAUGUCAUAGCAUUGAUUUGUGACUGAUCUUGACACUUGUGAAUGAAUGUCAUCUGAGCUGCAUUCUGAGCAGUCACUGUUGGGAUGUUUGUUUUGGACUUUUGUGUCAUUGUUGCAUAGGCCAAGGACUUGCCAUAUAUUGUGCCUGUUUGUCUUGACAAAAGUAUAAAAGUUAUUUGGUAAAACUUGAUUUUCGAGUUGUUGACUUAAAUUUACCCACACCGUUUCUGAAGGAAUUGCUAUGUUCUGUCCUGCAGUAAUCUGUUUCUUUGCAGCACUGAUGACUUUGAUUUCAUCACUUCCACAAGCUGGCCUCCUUGGCAUCUAAUCAAAACACAUUAUUUUUAAUGUAAUUUCUAGGCUAAGGGCUUUGACUCCUUUAUACCACUCACAUAUCACAUGAUGAGGUUACUUGCUUAUUCUUAAAGGGGUAAUAGACUAAAAAUGUUCUUUUCAAAUGUUUCUACUUUCUUAAUUGGACACAAAAUGAGAUGCAAUGCAGAAUGUUAGGCAGUGACAGCCUCAGUCUUCUUUCACUUACACUACAUCUUUUUUCAAAUUGAUGUAACUGAAUGGGGGCUAUAAUUGCAUAAAGUAUAUGGUUUUCUUGGCCUUUACACCAGCAAGGAAUGUGAAAAUGUGGUUAUCUGAUGUUCUAAUCACUUAACUAUUCACAGUAACAGAAUUUUUUGACCAGGGGUGCCCAACCCUUUGCAUGCAAAAGUUUGCAGACUUUUGCAAUGUCUGCAGUACAUCUUAAAUUUACUCCCCUGAAAUAUGUAUUAUUUUGCACAUCAUAACCUGCUGUUUUAUAGCAUGGCACAAAAAUGUCUUAGACAUAUUAAUGUGAUCCACACAGUAUGAGCGGGUUAAUUGACAUGUUAAUUAGUUUUUAUUUAAUGCUGAAUAAUAAUAAAGUUUCACCUCCGUGAACUCUGGCAACAUUUUCUUGUAUUUUUUUUAUUUUAAUUUUUUAAAUAUGCUAUAAAUUGUCCUGGCCUGCAUACAUGCUUUGAUUACUUAUUGUUACUCUAACACAUGGUAAUGCUUACCUUUUUUUCCCCAAAGCCAGAUUUUAUUUCCUUUUUCCCACAAUGCAGUGCUUGGGGUAAAUAACCCUUUUUUUUUUAAGGGGACAGAAAGACUACAAACAUUUAUAACUGGCAGAAGUAUUGAAAUAAAUGAA